rnacentral:lncRNA from 1 species
UCCUCCAUUGGGGGCCCUGUGAUCUAUCCAAUAGAUGACUGUGAGCAUCCACCUCUGUGUUUGCUAGGCUCCGGCAUAGCCUCACAAGAGAACCCUUUCACUUUUUAAAGAGGAUUUAUUUUUAAAUAAGUUGUAUAUGGGUGCCCUUGGAGGCCAGAGGUGUCAGAUCUCUUGGAGCCAAAGUUUCAGGAGGUUUUAAGCUGCCCAGUAUGGAUGUCUUGACUGAACUCUGGUCCUCUGGAAGACCAGGGAAAGAGUGUUGUAAGCUCUUAACUGAUGAGCUGUUUCUCCAGUUGUGUAUCCACCCCCCACCUCCCCAACCCCCACCCUCAGGUCCUUGCUGGUUUUAUUGAACUGGUGGAGUUCAAUGCCAGAGGGCCUAAUUGGACACACAUAGCCAUAGCUGGGACAUGGGUAUGACUGGGCAGGUUUGAACUUCUUUGCCCUUCUCUGUGUUAGAAGAAAUGUAGAACACAUAGUUUUUAUGACAUCACCCCAGAGAAAAUAAAACUAGCCAUGAGAAGUGCCUGUCAUAGAUGGAGGGACUUAUUUAGAGCUAUAUGCAGAAAUACAGAAAGUCUAAAGCAGUGGUUCUCAACCUUACUAAGGCUGACCUUUUAAUAGAGCUCCUCAUGUUGUGGUGACUCCCCACCGUAAAAUCAUUUCAUUGUUACUUUGUAACUAAUUUUGCUACUGUUAUGAACUGUAAUAUAUAAGUAUCUGAUAUGUAUGACAUCUGAUAGGACACUCUUGUGAAAGCGUUGUUUGACCACCAAAGAGGUCUUGACCCACAGGUUGAGAUCCACUGGUCUAAAAUAAUGUUGGCUACGUCUCAAUGUACACAGCCCAGUAUUUAGGUGCAGCUUGCUU